AGUUAUUGUCUUUGGAUGAAAUCGUUACUGGAAAGAUUUCAAAACACCACACUGGAUUUGUGAGGGAACUAUUAGCCAAUGGUAAUGAAUUUGGGAUCCAGUUUCCAUUUGAUCUUGAUGUUAAAAGUAAAGCAUUGAUACUUGGAGCAGCCUUUCUUAUUGACUACAUGUAUUUUGAACUCUGGGCAUAAGAAUCAGCCUGAAAGACUAUGACAGAGAUUACUGACAUUAACUUUUGCCAGUACUCCACAAAAUUAAACAACGUGCACUGAAAAUAUCUAAAUAAAGUUUUAUUUUACUAAAA